UGAGGAAUAUUGGUCAAUGGGCGGAAGCCUGAACCAGCCAUGCCGCGUGAAGGAAGAAGGUCCUAUGGAUUUUAAACUUCUUUUGUCGGAGAGCAAUAAGGGUCUCGUGAGAUCCGAUGAGAGUAUCCGACGAAUAAGCAUCGGCUAACUCCGUGCCAGCAGCCGCGGUAAUACGGAGGAUGCGAGCGUUAUCCGGAUUUAUUGGGUUUAAAGGGUGCGUAGGCGGACCGUUAAGUCAGUGGUAAAAUUGAGAGGCUCAACCUCUUCCGGCCAUUGAAACUGGCGGACUUGAGUGAGCGAGAAGUAUGCGGAAUGCGUGGUGUAGCGGUGAAAUGCAUAGAUAUCACGCAGAACUCCGAUUGCGAAGGCAGCAUACCGGCGCUCAACUGACGCUGAGGCACGAAAGCGUGGGGAUCAAACAGGAUUAGAUACCCUGGUAGU
rnacentral:rRNA from 1 species